rnacentral:rRNA from 1 species
UCCUACGGGGCGCAGCAGUGAGGAAUAUUGGUCAAUGGGCGAGAGCCUGAACCAGCCAAGUCGCGUGAGGGAGUACUGCCCUAUGGGUUGUAAACCUCUUUUGUCGGGGAGCAAAAGCCGGACGUGUCCGGCUGUGAGAGUACCCGAAGAAAAAGCAUCGGCUAACUCCGUGCCAGCAGCCGCGGUAAUACGGAGGAUGCGAGCGUUAUCCGGAUUUACUGGGCGUAAAGGGUGCGUAGGCGGCUUGGCAAGUCAGUA